rnacentral:rRNA from 1 species
UUCCGGUUGAUCCUGCCGGACCCGACUGCUAUUUGGGUGAGAAUAAGCCAUGCGAGUUGAAUGGGAUACCUAAAUUUCCCAUAGCAAACUGCUCAGUAACACAUGAUCAACUUACCCUAUGGAGAAAAAUAACCUCGGGAAACUGAGGAUAAUGUUUCAUAGUUGAAUAGGCUUGGAAAAGUUUUUCAAUGAAAUGAAUAAAAAGAAUGGUUUCUAUUUGCCAUAGGAUAGGAUCGUGGUCGAUUAUGGUUGUUGGUGAGGUAACGGCUCACCAAGCCGAUAAUCGAUAGGGGCCGUGAGAGCGGGAGCCCCGAGAUGGGUACUGAGACAACGACCCAGGCCUUACGAGGCGCAGCAGGCGCGGAACCUCCGCAAUACACGAAAGUGUGACGGGGUUACCCAAAGUGUUCAAUUUUGGACUGUGGUAGGUGAGUAAUGUCCCCUACUAGAAAGGAGAGGGCAAGGCUGGUGCCAGCCGCCGCGGUAAAACCAGCUCUUCAAGUGGUCGGGAUGAUUAUUGGGCUUAAAGUGUCCGUAGCCGGUUUAGUAAGUUCCUGGUAAAAUCGGGUAGCUUAACUAUCCGUAUGCUAGGAAUACUGCUAUACUAGAGGACGGGAGAGGUCUGAGGUACUACAGGGGUAGGGGUGAAAUCUUAUAAUCCUUGUAGGACCACCAGUGGCGGAGGCGUCAGACUGGAACGUGCCUGACGGUGAGGGACGAAAGCCAGGGGAGCGAACCGGAUUAGAUACCCGGGUAGUCCCUGGCCGCAAACGAUGCAUACUAGGUGAUGGUACGGCCAUGAGCCGUAUCAGUGCCCGUAGGGAAACCGUUAAGUGUGCCCGCCUGGGAAGUACGGUCCGCAAGGCUAAAAACUUUAAAGGAAUUUGGCGGGGGAGCACCACCAAGGGGUGUAAUCCUUGUGGUCUCACUUGCAUUCAACGUCCGAAAUCACUAUUCUGGCCGCCCUGCCCGCCCGACCCUCUGUGAGAGCUCCCCAACGCGUCUGAUGCUUAUUCUCACCCAUUUCCUAUAUAGCCCCUCAACCUUCUUGCUGUAAUUCACGUCAUAGUUGGUUUCCCGGGCCCCAACUCGCCAAUCUGUUCUACCUAUUCUUACUCACCC